UAAGGAAUAUUGCUCAAUGGGAGAAAUCCUGAAGCAGCAACGCCGCGUGGAGGAUGAAGGGUCUAUGACUUGUAAACUCCUGUAAAGAAGGAAAAAAUUCCCAUUAGAUGGGAGAUGAUGGUACUUCUGGAGUAAGCCCCGGCUAACUACGUGCCAGCAGCCGCGGUAAUACGUAGGGGGCAAGCGUUGUCCGGAUUUACUGGGUGUAAAGGGUGCUCAGGCGGAUUUGUAAGUCAGAGGUGAAAUCUUACAGCUUAACUGUGAAACUGCCUUUGAUACUGCAAGCCUAGAGUAUGGAAGAGAGUGAUGGAAUAUCUGGUGUAGCAGUUAAAUGCGUAGAUAUCAGAUAGAACACCAAUGGUGAAGGCAGUCACUUGGUCCAUUACUGACGCUAAAGCACGAAAGCGUGGGUAGCAAACA
rnacentral:rRNA from 1 species